UAGCUCAAUCAGUAGAGCGUGGCGCUAUCAACGCUAAGGUCGCGGGUUCGAUUCCCGU
rnacentral:tRNA from 1 species